rnacentral:rRNA from 1 species
GCAGUUAAAAAGCUCGUAGUUGAACUUCUAAGGAUUGAAGUCGCCUUAUGGCUUGUAUUGAUAUCCUUAUCCGCUUUGGUUUAGCAAUACGCACUUUGUUGGGCGAUUGUGUAACCAGGCAGUUUACUUUGAAAAAAUUAGAGUGUUUCAAGCAGGCGAUUUGCUGGAAUACAUUAGCAUGGAAUAAUAGAACACGACCUCUUAGGCAUUUUAUUGGUAUAUGACUGGAGGUAAUGAUUAACAGGGACAGUUGGGGGCAUUAGUAUUGCAUUGUCAGAGGUGAAAUUCAUUGAUUAGUGCAAGACUAACUUAUGCGAAAGCAUUUGCCAAGGAUGUUUUCAUUAAUCAAGAACGAAAGUUAGGGGAUCAAAGACGAUUAGAUACCGUCCUAGUCUUAACCAUAAACUAUGCCGACUCGGGAUCGGGAGCGUGUGUUAUCCCGCUUUCGGCACCGUAUGAGAAAUCAAAGUCUUUUGGGUUUCUGGGGGGAUUAUGGU